UACAGGGGGUGCAAACGUUGCUCGGAAUCAUUGGGCGUAAAGCGCACGUAGGCGGUUCGUUAUGUCGGAUGUGAAAGCCCUUGGCUUAACCGAGGAAGUGCAUCCGAAACUGGCGAGCUAGAGUACUAAAGAGGAUCGCGGAAUUCCCGGUGUAGAGGUGAAAUUCGUAGAUAUCGGGAGGAACACCGGUGGCGAAGGCGGCGAUCUGGGUCGAUACUGACGCUGAGGUGCGAAAGCGUGGGGGAGCAAACAGG
rnacentral:rRNA from 1 species